CGUACACGGUGGAUGCCCUGGCAGUCAGAGGCGAUGAAGGACGUGCUAAUCUGCGAAAAGCGUCGGUAAGGUGAUAUGAACCGUUAUAACCGGCGAUGUCCGAAUGGGGAAACCCAGUGUGAUUCGUCACACUAUCGUUAACUGAAUACAUAGGUUAACGAGGCGAACCGGGGGAACUGAAACAUCUAAGUACCCCGAGGAAAAGAAAUCAACCGAGAUUCCCCCAGUAGCGGCGAGCGAACGGGGAGCAGCCCAGAGUCUGAAUCAGCUUGUGUGUUAGUGGAACGGUCUGGAAAGUCCGACGGUACAGGGUGAUAGUCCCGUACACCAAAAUGCACAGGCUGUGAACUCGAAGAGUAGGGCGGGACACGUGGUAUCCUGUCUGAAUAUGGGGGGACCAUCCUCCAAGGCUAAAUACUCCUGACUGACCGAUAGUGAACCAGUACCGUGAGGGAAAGGCGAAAAGAACCCCGGCGAGGGGAGUGAAAAAGAACCUGAAACCGUGUACGUACAAGCAGUGGGAGCACCUUCGGGUGUGACUGCGUACCUUUUGUAUAAUGGGUCAGCGACUUAUAUUCUGUAGCAAGGUUAACCGUAUAGGGGAGCCGCAGGGAAACCGAGUCUUAACUGGGCGUUAAGUUGCAGGGUAUAGACCCGAAACCCGGUGAUCUAGCCAUGGGCAGGUUGAAGGUUGGGUAACACUAACUGGAGGACCGAACCGACUAAUGUUGAAAAAUUAGCGGAUGACUUGUGGCUGGGGGUGAAAGGCCAAUCAAACCGGGAGAUAGCUGGUUCUCCCCGAAAGCUAUUUAGGUAGCGCCUCGUGAACUCAUCUUCGGGGGUAGAGCACUGUUUCGGCUAGGGGGUCAUCCCGACUUACCAACCCGAUGCAAACUACGAAUACCGAAGAAUGUUAUCACGGGAGACACACGGCGGGUGCUAACGUCCGUCGUGAAGAGGGAAACAACCCAGACCGCCAGCUAAGGUCCCAAAGUCAUGGUUAAGUGGGAAACGAUGUGGGAAGGCACAGACAGCCAGGAUGUUGGCUUAGAAGCAGCCAUCAUUUAAAGAAAGCGUAAUAGCUCACUGGUCGAGUCGGCCUGCGCGGAAGAUGUAACGGGGCUAAACCAUGCACCGAAGCUGCGGCAGCGACACUAUGUGUUGUUGGGUAGGGGAGCGUUCUGUAAGCCUGCGAAGGUGUGCUGUGAGGCAUGCUGGAGGUAUCAGAAGUGCGAAUGCUGACAUAAGUAACGAUAAAGCGGGUGAAAAGCCCGCUCGCCGGAAGACCAAGGGUUCCUGUCCAACGUUAAUCGGGGCAGGGUGAGUCGACCCCUAAGGCGAGGCCGAAAGGCGUAGUCGAUGGGAAACAGGUUAAUAUUCCUGUACUUGGUGUUACUGCGAAGGGGGGACGGAGAAGGCUAUGUUAGCCGGGCGACGGUUGUCCCGGUUUAAGCAUGUAGGCUGNNNNNNNNNNGUAACAUCAAAUCGUACCCCAAACCGACACAGGUGGUCAGGUAGAGAAUACCAAGGCGCUUGAGAGAACUCGGGUGAAGGAACUAGGCAAAAUGGUGCCGUAACUUCGGGAGAAGGCACGCUGGUGUGUAGGUGAAGUCCCUGCGGAUGGAGCUGAGACCAGUCGAAGAUACCAGCUGGCUGCAACUGUUUAUUAAAAACACAGCACUGUGCAAACACGAAAGUGGACGUAUACGGUGUGACGCCUGCCCGGUGCCGGAAGGUUAAUUGAUGGGGUUAUCCGUAAGGAGAAGCUCUUGAUCGAAGCCCCGGUAAACGGCGGCCGUAACUAUAACGGUCCUAAGGUAGCGAAAUUCCUUGUCGGGUAAGUUCCGACCUGCACGAAUGGCGUAAUGAUGGCCAGGCUGUCUCCACCCGAGACUCAGUGAAAUUGAACUCGCUGUGAAGAUGCAGUGUACCCGCGGCAAGACGGAAAGACCCCGUGAACCUUUACUAUAGCUUGACACUGAACAUUGAGCCUUGAUGUGUAGGAUAGGUGGGAGGCUUUGAAGCGUGGACGCCAGUCUGCGUGGAGCCAACCUUGAAAUACCACCCUUUAAUGUUUGAUGUUCUAACGUUGGCCCCUGACCGGGGUUGCGGACAGUGUCUGGUGGGUAGUUUGACUGGGGCGGUCUCCUCCCAAAGCGUAACGGAGGAGCACGAAGGUUAGCUAAUCCUGGUCGGACAUCAGGAGGUUAGUGCAAUGGCAUAAGCUAGCUUGACUGCGAGCGUGACGGCGCGAGCAGGUGCGAAAGCAGGUCAUAGUGAUCCGGUGGUUCUGAAUGGAAGGGCCAUCGCUCAACGGAUAAAAGGUACUCCGGGGAUAACAGGCUGAUACCGCCCAAGAGUUCAUAUCGACGGCGGUGUUUGGCACCUCGAUGUCGGCUCAUCACAUCCUGGGGCUGAAGUAGGUCCCAAGGGUAUGGCUGUUCGCCAUUUAAAGUGGUACGCGAGCUGGGUUUAGAACGUCGUGAGACAGUUCGGUCCCUAUCUGCCGUGGGCGCUGGAGAAUUGAGGGGGGCUGCUCCUAGUACGAGAGGACCGGAG
rnacentral:rRNA from 1 species